rnacentral:ribozyme from 13 species
UUUCUUUCUUUUCGAUGGUUCGAUUUGCUUUUUGUUCUUUCCACUUUUUUCGAGGGAUAACUCUUUGACGGAAUGAAUGGUUUGCUCGUUAUGGGGUCUUUGAGAGACAAAAAAAAUAUUUUUAAUAUUAAAAUAUUUUCUUUUUUUUUUUUUUUUUAGACUGGGCAGCAAACAAAGGAACAAUACUUUUGAUUUUUCAUUGCCAAUG